UUGGUUUGAUUUGAUUUUUUUGAGACGUAGUUUUGCUCUUAUUGCCCAGGCUGGAAUGCAAUGGCACAAGCUUGGCUGCCUGCAACCCUCGCCUCCAGAGUUCCAGUGAUUCUCCUGCCUCUGCCUCCCUACUUGCUGGGAUUACAGGCACCUGCCCGCAAGCCUGGCUAAGUUUUUGUAUUUUUAGUAGAGGCCAGGUUUCACCAUGUUGGCCAGGCUGGCCUUGAACUCCUGACCUCAGGUCAUCCACCCAGUUCUGCCUCCUAAAGUGCACACUGUUCUAUUUGCAGAGGGAAAUAUGAGUGGGCGAGAAAGAAAACAUAGACCAAUACGACAUGUGCGACUUGUUCAGCUGACCAGGCCUGCUUGCCUGAACUGAAAGCUGAUCUCCAGAAGCUGUCUCAGUCAAAGACUGGGGGUGAAUGCGGAGAUGGUCGUGAUGUACAGGGGAAGAGUGUGCCAAAAUCAGAGGAAUUUAAAAUGCCGGAAGGAGCAGAAGAGAAACCACAGGUUUAAACGAAGACGAGCUGAAAGAAUGCAAACUGCAUUUAUCUGAGAUAUUUGACUUUUAAAAAUCUCAAUAAAGUUUUCCAGUUUUCUCCAAAGAAGU